rnacentral:rRNA from 1 species
UACGUAGGCAGCAAGCGUUGUUCGGAAUUACUGGGCGUAAAGGGCUCGUAGGUGGCCAACUAAGUCAUACGUGAAAUCCCUCGGCUUAACCGGGGAACUGCGUCUGAUACUGGAUGGCUUGAGGUUGGGAGAGGGAUGCGGAAUUCCAGGUGUAGCGGUGAAAUGCGUAGAUAUCUGGAGGAACACCGGUGGCGAAGGCGGCAUCCUGGACCAAUUCUGACACUGAGGAGCGAAAGCCAGGGGAGCAAACGGG